UUUCUCCACAGAUAACACCUUACCAUCCCAUUUGGGUAAAAGUCAGAGUAAUAGCGAACUGCAAGUCGCCCGUCAGAAUCUCCAGAGGGAGCGUUCAGCACAGGAGAAAUAUGCACUGGAACUUGAGAGACGAGAACGUGCUCUAGUUGAGCGAGAAGAAUUGCUUCACAGAUGUGAAGCAGCUUUCGCUGCAAUAAAAGAUGCUGAUGAAGACGUUUAGGCAGUACUUGGAACUAUGAAAAAAGUACAAUAACUUACUUAGUGAUUCUUAUUGCUCCCCAUACAUUUUAACUUGCUUGUAGUUUUCUUAAGCCAUCAUAUGUUUGCUGGAUAUAAUGCUUAUUUCUUUAAAGUGUUUGAAACCCCCAAAUGAAAGAUUUAGCAUAAAAAGUGCCAAACUGUUGUUAGUGAGUUUGGUGUGGUUUCCAGUUCAGAAUGGUGCAAUGAAUUGUGGGAUGUGUAGGUACAGAUUACUGUUGAAAUUUGGGAAAACUAGAUUAAAAUGAAGCAGUUAACCACUGGGUUAGAGAGGUCAGUAAGACUGGUGCUUCCAGUAUUUGCAGGUCUUCGGAACAGACUAGACAAACAUUUGGCAGGAAUGAAGUGAUGCACUUUAUUAUGAUACAGAUGGUACCCGAUUUGAUAAUGGAAUUGGAUGGUUUAGACAUCCUGGCACCACCUACAACAGCCCUGUGGUCUGUGAAAUUAUUGCCAAAUCCCUGAAGAACUGUGAAAUUAUUGUCAAAACCCCAAAUAUGCAAGCCUUAUAAAGCAUUGUGUAAUGUGGUUU